GCCUGGAUAGCUCAGUUGGUUAGAGUACAGUGUUGAUAAUGCCAAGCUUGCAGGUUCGAUCCCUGUAGGGGA